rnacentral:pre_miRNA from 1 species
GAUGGGGAGGAGGUCCCUCAGCCUGGAUCGUGAGAGGGCGCAAGCCAGGCGAGGGACCCUACCAGUGCACG